GCAGCAGAGGCUGGCAGCAGAGGCUGGCAGCAGAGGCUGGCAGGCCAGGCCGAUUGGCCACACGCGUGCACGGGUGGGCUGCCCAGCUGCGUUGCUAUAUGGCUGCUGGUCGGCUGGGUGCGUGUGUAGGCAGCUGCAGGCAGCUGCUGAUGACGCUCGUUUUGCUCGGCGGGCGGAAUGAAGAAUAGUGUAGGAAAACACGGCAACCAUGAUGAUCAACGCAUUGCGCUGCUGUUACAUACAUACAUACAUUCAUACAUACAUACAUCGAUACAGCACAUAUAUACAUGGCGUACAGUGGCUGGUGUAUGUAUAAACAUCCUGAUGGGUUGUUCGGGGUAUUAUUUUGCUACAUAUCUAUCUAUCCGCUGAGCGAGGCAGCAGCACCUUGUCUGCAGAAGUCAUGAACACCGACCGCAGCUGCACCCGCACCAGCACCCACCCACAUCCAUUAUCGAUGGCAGUCCAUUCGAUGCGGCAGCAGCAGCAGUUCCACCUCCGCGCUUGUUAUCACCUACCUACCUACCUACCUACCUACCUACCUACCUACCUACCUACCUAUCUCCAGCAGGUACGUAUGUAUGUAUGUAUGUUACCUGGCGAUCACCCAUCAAUCCAUUAUCUUCAUUCGGAUAUGGCAAACUUCUCAAAUUUCAGGAAUGAACAUGCAUAACAAUAAUGCAUAAUCGUCAAAUGUGGUUUCAUCGUGCUUUCGCACUCAGCAGGUUACUUGCCCACGCUGCAGAGAUAGGGCGGAGGUGUCGCGGACGGUGUAGUAUUCCCAGCUGGGAAGAUCACGGAAUCCGUUAUAUCACGACGAAAUACCGAUCGGCGGAUGCAGUCGUGAUAUAACAGAAGGCCAUGUCACGGGGUUAGUUACUGUGUGGAUGGAUUCUUUGCCAUGUCCAGCAGCUGUUGCUUGAGGGGACCGUCCCUAUCUAUUAUACGAGGGCGUGUUCUAUAGGUGAUAAAAAAUUUACGGAAGUAUGAUGACAGCUGUAGUACUAGCUCCAUGCUCCGCAAGGAUGCGUUUGGACGAUUUAUGCAUAUAUUAUAGCUUUAAAAAUAAACGCAUUUUAUUGAGCUUAUUAUUAUAUAUUGCUUCCUGUGUGUGUGCCUGCUGCGUGCUGUGCACGCGUGUGCAAGAGUAGUGUGCGUAUGCAUAAUGAUAAUAAAUAAAUAAAUAACGAUAAAAACAGAGUGGAGCCUGCAACCGAUGCAUAAGGCUUACUGUAUGUGAUGUGAUAGCAGCGGCGCUCGCAGCGAGGUCAUCAGCACUCUUCCAGCAGCAAAUCCCAUAUACAUUCAAGACUGGAUACAGGAUAUAUCGGAGGAUGUUACCUAUAUAUAGGUACAGCAGCACGUAGUCCCGAUGACUAUUUACAAGUGGGCCCUGCGACCGAUGGCGUCAAACGCCAUGAAAUCCUUGCACUAACGAGCAGAACGGGGUCCUUCAUAAAUAAUAUAUGUAUGCUGACGGCUGAUAUAUUACUAAGUCCCCGCCGUGAAUGAUGAUGAGGCGUGUGUGUGCGCGGUAGAGGAUCCGGCGGCUGUAGAAGCUGGUACACAAAGUCCAGCACAACACAUGUAAGAUCUUUUACAAAUACGCGCUAAGGCGCUCGGCACCCCAGCAACUUGUUGAGAGGCAACUUUCCAGCGGCCAGCUACUACAUCGGUAGUGGCUGGUGCGCUGCAGCAGGGCAUGUGGCGACAUAUUGUCACACCACACUGACGUCGGCCCAUACACAUAAUAUAUUAUAUUCUGUGCAUUCUGUGCAAGCCGUGAAUUCGUCAUGUUGCCUAAACUUCGUGUCGCCUAAUCUGCAUGUUGUCUAAAUCGCUGGAGAGAGCAGAAGCAUUAUGGGCACAAAAUCACGUGCUCAAACCCUGGCCGCGCGCACGUCAGCUAAUGAGAAUCCCAAUUUGCAAUGCUUAGGGUUAUAUGUAGAUUCCGCUCCCGGCUAAGUUAGUAUCCCUGCGCGUCAUGGUUGACUGGACAAUCCGAGUGUAGUAGCGAUAGUGCACCUAAGGGCACCCGAGAGAAUGUGAUUGCGAGGAGCGAGGUUAAUUGAAUAUUCACGUUCACGCCGGAGAAUAGUAUUGGGAGAUUGAAUGAUUUUGAUCUCUGUCUACUGACAGAGAUAGGGGCGGCAGGUGAGCAAGCCUGCGAGAACAUGUGUGUAUGUAUGUUUGUGUAUGUGUGUGUGCGUCUGUCUGUGCGUGUGUGUCUGUGUGUCUGUCUGUGAGUGUGUGUCUGUGCGUGUGUCUAUGUGUGUCCGUUACAUCUGCUGCUUGUACGAGCAAUUAGCGGUCCUGCCUUAACGAGAACAAUGAGCGGUUCCAAGGCCCGUGGAUAACCCCCCUGCCUGCACCCCCCGGGGGUAGCCCAUCGGUACCCCCUUUAAGUAAGGGUAAGGUCCUACCUAGCGGGAGGGGUAAUAUGACCUUAAGGCAAAAAAAGCUACAUACGAUGCCAGUUUGGUUUACGGAGUAAAUUUCGUUUGCGUCAUUCGAGCCGCACGUGCUGAAUAGCAUGCAUGCAUGCAUGCAUGCAUGCACAUACAUACAUACAUUCAUAUGGCAGGUGGCUGGCUGACUUGUUCUCCCGGAGGUUCCGGGUCAAAUUCGCCUGCCUGUGUGUGAGUGGUGUUGAAUUGGGAGGUGGACCCCCAACUUGUGGACGGUGUAGGACGUGAUUAUAGCAAUUUGCGAGCUGAGCAGGAACUAAGUUGUGGCGCCGUUGAUCGCGCUAGAUUUGGUUGGAUGCUGGUGGUGAGUUGCUGAACCCAACGAAUAAACUCUGAAGUCGGAUGGGUUGAAUGGAUUAGGGUGCCCCUCUCGCAAGGGAGAGCAGGGAACUGCCUCGGGAAAGGGGGCCGCUGGUGAAGCUAUACCACCCUGUAACAACAUCAUACAUUCA
rnacentral:lncRNA from 1 species